rnacentral:rRNA from 1 species
CGGACGGGUGAGUAAUACUUAGGAAUCUGCCCAUUAGUGGGGGACAACAUUCGGAAACGGAUGCUAAUACCGCAUACGCCCUACGGGGGAAAGCGGGGGAUCUUCGGACCUCGCGCUAAUGGAUGAGCCUAAGUCGGAUUAGCUUGUUGGUGAGGUAAUGGCUCACCAAGGCGACGAUCCGUAGCUGGUCUGAGAGGACGAUCAGCCACACUGGGACUGAGACACGGUCCAG